UCCUGGCUCAGGAUGAACGCUAGCGGCAGGCCUAAUACAUGCAAGACGAACGGUAAGCUAGGUAGCAAUAUUUAGCCAAGAGUGUCGUAAGGGUGCGUAACACGUAUGCAAUCUGCCCGGAACUGGAGCAUAGCUCGCCGAAAGGCGGAUUAACUCUCCAUAAUAUCAUUGAGUGGCAUCACUUGAUGAUUAAAAUUACGAUGGUUCUGGAUGAGCAUGCGGAUGAUUAGCUAGUUGGUAGUGUAACGGACUACCAAGGCGAUGAUCAAUAGGGGAACUGAGAGGUUGAUCCCCCACACUGGCACUGAGAUACGGGCCAGACUCCUACGGGAGGCAGCAGUAGGGAAUAUUGGACAAUGGGUGCAAGCCUGAUCCAGCCAUGCCGCGUGCAGGAAGAAGGCUUUCUGAGUUGUAAACUGCUUUUGCCAGGGGAUAAAAUAACGGUGCGCCGUGAAUUGAAGGUACCUGGUGAAUAAGCCACGGCUAACUACGUGCCAGCAGCCGCGGUAAUACGUAGGUGGCAAGCGUUGUCCGGAUUUAUUGGGUUUAAAGGGUGCGUAGGCGGUCUUUUAAGUCAGUGGUGAAAUACUUCAGCUCAACUGGAGAGGUGCCAUUGAUACUGGGAGACUUGAGUACUGAUGAGG
rnacentral:rRNA from 1 species